GCAAUAAGCGGAGGAAAAGAAACCAACAGGGAUUGCCCUAGUAACGGCGAGUGAAGCGGCAACAGCUCAAAUUUGAAAUCUGGCUUCGGCCCGAGUUGUAAUUUGCAGAGGAUGUUUAUGGUGCGGUACCUUCCGAGUUCCCUGGAACGGGACGCCACAGAGGGUGAGAGCCCCGUCUGGUUGGAUACCAAACCUGUGUUAAACUCCUUCAACGAGUCGAGUAGUUUGGGAAUGCUGCUCUAAAUGGGAGGUAAAUCUCUUCUAAAGCUAAAUACCGGCCAGAGACCGAUAGCGCACAAGUAGAGUGAUCGAAAGAUGAAAAGCACCUUGAAAAGGGGGUUAAACAGUACGUGAAAUUGUUGAAAGGGAAGCGUUUAUGACCAGACUUGUGUCGUGUGGCUCAUCCGAGGUUCUCCCCGGUGCACUCCACACGGCUCAGGCCAACAUCGGUUCUCGUUGGGGGAUAAGAACAGUAGGAACGUGGCCCCCCUCGGGGGGUGUUAUAGCCUAUUGUACGAUACUCUGACGGGGACCGAGGACCGCGCUUCGGCUAGGAUGUUGGCGUAAUGGUCAUUAGCGACCCGUCUUGAAACACGGACCAAGGAGUCGUCCAUUAGAGCGAGCGUUUGGGUGUAAAACCCGCACGCGUAAUGAAAGUGAAAUUAGGUGAGAGCUUCGGCGCAUCAUCGACCGAUCCUGAAGUUUACGGAUGGAUUUGAGUAAGAGUUUUAACGGACGGACCCGAAAGACAGUGAACUAUGCUUGAAUAGGGUGAAGCCAGAGGAAACUCUGGUGGAGGCUCGCAGCGGUUCUGACGUGCAAAUCGAUCGUCAAAUUUGAGCAUGGGGGCGAAAGACUAAUCGAACUGUCUAGUAGCUGGUUACCGC
rnacentral:rRNA from 1 species